rnacentral:rRNA from 1 species
GUCUAUGGCCAUGCCACUCUCAACACGCCCAAUCUCAUCUGAUCUCAGAAGCUAAGCAGGUUAGUACUUGGAUGGGAGACCACCUAGGAAUACCUGGUGCUGUAGGCU